rnacentral:rRNA from 1 species
UGGGGAAUAUUGCACAAUGGGCGCAAGCCUGAUGCAGCCAUGCCGCGUGUAUGAAGAAGGCCUUCGGGUUGUAAAGUACUUUCAGCGGGGAGGAAGGGAGUAAAGUUAAUACCUUUGCUCAUUGACGUUACCCGCAGAAGAAGCACCGGCUAACUCCGUGCCAGCAGCCGCGGUAAUACGGAGGGUGCAAGCGUUAAUCGGAAUUACUGGGCGUAAAGCGCACGCAGGCGGUUUGUUAAGUCAGAUGUGAAAUCCCCGGGCUCAACCUGGGAAAUGCAUCUGAUACUGGCAAGCUUGAGUCUCGUAGAGGGGGGUAGAAUUCCAGGUGUAGCGGUGAAAUGCGUAGAGAUCUGGAUGAAUACCGGUGGCGAAGGCGGCCCCCUGGACAAAGACUGACGCUCAGGUGCGAAAGCGUGGGGAGCAAACAGG